CUGCCAUCAUCAUCCUUCAUGCAGCAACGAUAUGUGCCAUAUAAGAUAGAAUCUCCAUUUCAAAAAUGCAGUAGUGAAGUAUCUUGGAAGAAUAAGCUCCCAUUUAUUGGUAAGACAACAUGAUCUUGUUGUGAAGAUAAAAGAGAAGAGGAAGAACGAUGACGGGAUUCAGAUGGAAGGUGCAAGGAGUAUUCUCAUGAGAUAUGAGCAUCUCCAAAUUACCAAAAUUAUCAAUGGAAAAAUAACUUUCUAGGGGCAAUGCAAAGGCAAUUUGUGUCAUUUUGCACAGGGAACAACUAGAUAUUCCCCGGGAAUAAUUUAACCGCCCAUCAACUCAGGUACUUGUGAGUUAUUUGUAUUAAAAUUGUCGAUUCGUUUUACAUUUUAAGUUACAAAGUGCAGAACUUCAACCACAACCAUGUUAGACGGAGGAUAGGAGAGCUGCAAAGGCAUGAGUUGUUGUUGGCUUUAGUUUGGAAAGGUAUUCCCAAUCCCAUACAUUUAAUUGGGACCAGAGAUGAACUGAAGAUAAUUUAUUUCCAGAUAUUCCUUUCUUUCUCAGUUUCCAGGAGAAUAAAGUAGCACAUGAUAUAGGCAUAAAUGCUUCAUGGACAUCCGAUGGAAACACUAA